GCAGCCCUAUAAAAGGGGCAGCCGGUAGCCUUGAGCAGCCAGAGCUGAGCAUGGAGUGAGCCAGCCAGCCAAGGACUGAACCUCUACAUCACUGCAUCUCUCUUUCUCCUCCUGAGCCAUCUUUCCCUCCCACCAAGGUCUUGAGGAGGACUUCUGCAGCCAUGGCCACCUCUGCAAGUUCCCACUUGAGCAAGGCUAUAAAACACAUGUACAUGAAGCUGCCUCAGGGAGACAAGGUGCAAGCUAUGUACAUCUGGAUAGAUGGGACUGGCGAGUUUCUGCGUUGUAAAACCCGGACACUGGAUCAUGAGCCCAAGAACCUUGAAG